rnacentral:lncRNA from 1 species
UCUUCAAUUUUUCAUCCUCAUUUUCCAGGUGGACGCCUGAUUUCUUCUUUAAUUCUUCAUCCUCAUUCUCCAGGUGGACGCCUGAUUUCUUCUUCAAUUCUUCAUCCUCAUUCUCCAGGUGGACGCCUAACUUCUUAAAUUCUUCAUCCUCAUUCUCCAGGUGGACGCCUGAUUUCUUCUUCAAUUCUUCAUCCUCAUUCUCCAGGUGGAUGCCUGAUUUCUUCUUUAAUUCUUCAUCCUCAUUCUCCAGGUGGACGCCUGAUUUCUUCUUCAAUUCUUCAUCCUCAUUCUCCAGGAGGACGCCUGAUUUCUUCUUUAAUUCUUCA